rnacentral:rRNA from 1 species
AAAUGAAUAGACGGGGGCCCGCACAAGCGGCGGAGCAUGUUGCUUAAUUCGAGGCAACGCGAAGAACCUUACCUAGGCUUGACAUGUAGAGAAAAGCCGUAGAGAUACGGUGUCCUUUUGGGCUCUACACAGGUGGUGCAUGGCUGUCGAAAGCUCGUGUCGUGAGAUGUUGGGUUAAGUCCCGCAACGAGCGCAACCCUUGUCCUAUGUUGCCAGCGGAUAAUGCCGGGGACUCGUAGGAGACUGCCGGGGUCAACUCGGAGGAAGGUGGGGACGACGUCAAGUCAUCAUGCCCCUUAUGUCUAGGGCUGCAAACAUGCUACAAUGGCUGGUACAACGGGCUGCGAAACCGCGAGGUCAAGCGAAUCCCACAAAGCCAGUCUCAGUUCGGAUUGGAGUCUGCAACUCGACUCCAUGAAGUUGGAGUCGCUAGUAAUCCCGGAUCAGCAUUGCCGGGGUGAAUACGUUCCCGGGCCUUGUACACACCGCCCGU